GCCAGCGUUCAAGAUGAACCAAAAUAAAAAUAAAUAAAUAAAUCAUCGCUGGUUCUCUGCCAUGGCAACACCACCCACCCCACUAGUGUUCAAGGUGUCUAGACGGGAACCAGUUCUGAUCACCCCUUCUGAGCCAACCCCACAUGAACUCAAACCUCUUUCAGACAUAGAUGACCAAGAUGGUCUCAGAGUCCACAUUCCACUCAUUCUUUUUUACCCUUACGAUCAUUCAAUGCAGAGGAGGGAUCCUGUUCAGGUCAUUAAGGAAGCACUUGCUAAAACACUGGUGUUUUACUAUCCAUUUGCUGGUAGGCUCAGAGAAGGGCCUAAGCGUAAGCUCUUGGUGGAGUGUACAGGUGAGGGUAUUUUGUUUAUUGAGGCUAAUGCCGAUGUUACGCUUGAGCAGUUUGGUGAUGCGCUCUGGCCUCCAAUUCCUUGCCUGGAGGAGCUCCUCUUUGACGUGCCUGGCUCCAGCGGGAUGAUAAACUGCCCUCUGCUGCUUAUUCAGGUGACGCGUCUCAAGUGCGGCGGAAUUGUCUUUGCCAUCCGUCUGAACCACACAAUGAGUGACGGUACUGGCAUAAACCAAUUUUUGUCAGCCAUGUGUGAGAUGGUGCAUGGAGCACAGACUCCCUCUAUCCAACCAGUUUGGGAAAGGCACGUUUUAAAUGCAAGGAACCCACCUCAGGUAACCUGCUUACACCACGAGUAUGAUCAACUGGUUGACACCACUGACAACGUUCCGCUUACUAAGAAGACCCAUCGUUCGUUCUUUUUUGGACAUGCUCACAUAUCUGCUAUUCGUGGCUUUGCCCCACUACACCUUCGCCAUUGCUCCACAUUUGAUGUAUUGACUGCUUUUUUGUGGAGGUGCCGAACCAUUGCACUUCAACCAAACCCAAAUGAUCAGAUGCGGAUACUAUGCACUGUCAAUGCUCGCAAUAGAUUUAACCCUCCGUUACCUAGAGGUUAUUAUGGAAAUUGCAUGGCAUACUCAGUGGCAAUGGCAACAGCGGGAGAAAUCUCACGAAAUUCUUUAGGCUUUACGUUGGAAUUAGUCAGGAAGGCCAAGGCCAAUGUGACUGAAGAGUACAUGCGAUCAGUGGCUGAUCUGUUGGUGAUUAAAGGUAGACCUUGGUACACAAUGGUGCGGUCUUACCUAGUGUCGGAUGUGACUCGUGCAAUGUUUGCAGAGAUGAACUUAGGUUGGGGUAAGCCGAAGUACGCCGGGCCUGCUAAGGGUAAUGUGGCAAGCUUUCAGAUACCAUAUAGGACUAAGAAAGGAGAAGAUGGUGUUCUUGUGACUCUUUGCUUACCGACUCCGGCUAUGGAAAGAUUUGCGAAGGAGCUGGAUAGCACGUUUAAGGAGCAGUCAAAUGGUGGUGGCAAUGCUAAAUCCCUCUUAUCUUCCUUGUAGGGAAAAUAAGUAUUUUUUCAAAUGAUAUAAAUGCAUUCCUAUUGUGUUCAUUUGCUUUGAGUUCAUGUGGAGAAUCUAUCUGGUCACUUGCUACAAUGGAUGGGCAGAGAAGUUGUUCUACAAGAACCUCCUAAUAGACGCAGCAGACUGGUUUCAUGAGGAUACUCUUCAUUUUCUGACUGAAAAUAUGGUAAAAACCUUGCCCGUGUAGGAUUCUUGUUAACUUGUCUUCUGACAGUGAAAUUGCCUCCAAAUUAUCAACUCUUCCUUUUUAACAGCAAGUAGUCGCUGUUCAAUUUGAGUAAGUCCAGUAUGUACAAUUGAAUGGCCUUAUGCUGGACUUGCUUGAAGCAGAAGAGGCAUGGAUCAGAAUUUUAUUGAUGUACAAGAUAGUAUAAUUCUAUGUCAGUUUUAAGUUUAAAUAAUUUUUAUUUGAAGAAGGAUAUGUUAUAAAAUAAUAUAAAUUAUUUAUUAAUAUAAAUUUUACAAUCACUAACCAAAAAAAUAUAUAUAUUCUUUUCACA